AUGCAAAUAAAAGAUUAUUUUAAAUUAAAACUAAUUUAGGGUUUUUUAUUUUAUUUUAAUUAUUAUUAUUUUUAACUUGGUCUACUUAGUAGCUUAGAUAAUUAACACACAGUAGAUCAUGGUUCUAUACAGAUGCUCAGAAUGAGCUGGAGGGGUUAGUGGCACAUGUGUGCAGUCUAUUACUCCCAACACGCUGGGAAAACCAGAAAUGUCAUAGAAAUUUGUUUUCAAGGCUUGUAAGUACACCCUGACUAUAGUGAAAAUUAGGUACUUGGGUGUUCGUCUCAAAAAAUACAUUGAGCACAAUUGGCAAAACACGAGAAAAAGCGGACUGGGAAAUGCAAGUAACAAUUGCAGCUGUUUAAAACAUGCUUUCAAAAGUUCUUAACAAAUUGAUGCAAUUGUAAGUGUUGAAAUUGCCUGCAGCUUUAAUACAUCUCGUUACAAUGUUUUUGAUCCCUCAUUUGCACUAUCUCCACCCAAAUUUCUGCAGGAACGCCCAGAAUUACAUUUUCAUUUCAGGCUAAAGCGCAAAUAAGAGAUUCGGCUGCAAAGCAUUCAUUAAAACGAUGUUAACAGCGUUGCGUUUGUUUAGUACAUUUCACACUACACUUCCGACUGGUUUGCAUGUGGUUUGCAACGAUUGCGACAGACGUAACACUUUAGUACAUCUGCCCCUUUUUCUGUUUCUUGUGUAAGACAGCAGGGAGGGGGUUAAUAUCUUCCCUGCACAAAACAUGUGCGUAAUUGUUUUGAUUUAUUUCUUGCCAGUAUACUUAAAAUAUGUACAGACAGGAAUACUUAAAACAGAACUAUUCCCUAUUCUUGCCAGUACAUAUUUUAUGUGCCCAUCAUUUUUUAAAUGUUUGGCAUGGAACUGAAGUUUAAUGAAUAAAGUUACCAAACAUUUAUAUCGGUUUCAAGAAAAUGGGGAUAUCUGUGUACGGUGAAAAAUACAAAAAAUACAUGCUAUCCACAUGUCAUGCAGUAUUAUGAAAGUCACCUUUUAUGGGCAUUGAUCACUGGUCCUAGAUUUUGCAAAUAAGGUUUCUGUCGUAUUAUUUAAUGCCAGGGAUGAAAUCCCCUACAGGGGAUAUAGUGGAGGGGGUCAUACCUACAUAUUUAUGUCACACGUCACACAUUUUUUCAAAUAUCUGCUUAUACAAUUGACAUUUAAAUGUAUUGAGAAUAACAGGAGAAUCACUUAUCAAAUUGGUCUUAAACAUUUCAUUGUUAAAUCGUAAUCUAUGCUAUUUUGGACACUGUUGGUAUAUGUCAACUUUUUCAUCAUACUGAUAGCUCUAAUUUUGAAUUUACUGCAGUGGUUGGAGUGUAUGUUACUGGAAUACGUGUAAGUCUUAUUGAGCCCUAAAGAAGGGUAAAAUAGGGACAGACUAGAGCGAGACUGGGGGUUUUGUUGACACGCCCCGCAGGCACGCAGGUUUUAUUUACAUACACAGAACACAACUCGCAUAACGCUACCAACAAUGGUAGCUCACUCAAGACAUACGACAGUGUACAAAAAGCAAAAUAAAACACGGUACAUAAACUACAAACAAAAAGGUGCUGUGAAUACGGUGAAUGCUACUAGGGUUGUCACGAUACCAGAAUUUUGAACUUCGAUACGAUACCAGUUCAGUUUCAAGAUACUCGAUACCUCUUCAAUACCAUGGCAAAAAAAAAAAAUCUUAACACACAAAAUAAGAGAACAUUCCUUUAAUAAAGGGUCAAAACAGUGCAGGUGCAGUAAACAUAAUUUGCAUAUUAUCACUUAAGGAUUUUUUUUUUGUGUAGGACUGUGAUUGACUGGCUCUUUAAUAGUUCUGCUUGUUUUUGGUAGUGAAAUAAAGAGGAUGAAGUAAAACUACAAAGUGGAUAAAUCUGAGAUUUUUAUUAAGUGAUUCAGGUGAGUGCUCUGUACAUUAUUGAUGGAGAAAGGUUCUCAAAAAAGUUUUUACUGUUAUUAUAUUUGCGUAGAACUGUGACUACAGGGGUUUCAGGUAAGUACCACAUGUGGAAUAAAUCAGCACAAACUGGGGGUUCAGAAAAUAAAAAAUCCAUUGUUUGAUUUGAUGCCCAAUAAAUUUAGUAAAGAAACAUAGGGCAGCAGUGUGGAGUAGUGAUUAGGGCUCUGGACUCUUGACUGGAGGGUCGUGGGUUCAAUCCCAGGUGGGGGACAUUGCUGCUGUACCCUUGAGCAAGGUACUUUACCAAGAUUGCGCCAGUAAAAACCCAACUGUAUAAACGGGUAAUUGUAUGUAAAAAAAUAAUGAUAACUUGUAACAAUUGUAAGUCGCUCUGGAUAAGGGCGCCUGCUAAGAAAUAAAUAAUAAUAAACAAAAAAAUAACGAAUGGCAGGAUGAAAAUAAAAUACGCUUUUUAGAAAAAAAGAACAUUUGUUGUCAAUUUUUUUUUUCAGUGCUCUGAGUAGAAAAAAUGUAUUUUACAAUCAAACUUCAAGGUCUUGGGAACAUGUCUAAAAUGAAAUAAUUAAAAUUGGAACACCAGAACAAAAGUUACAGCCAUUUAUAACAAAACUAUAGAAAACGCAAGAAAUGCAAAAUAAUAUAUAAAAGAAGAAAAUUAUCAAAAACAAGGGAAACACAAUCUUUUUUUUUUUGUUUUGCAAUGUUUUCUUUGCUAUCCUGCGCGUCUGCUCCAUCUAGUGCUCUCUCACACAGCAUGAAGCAGUCAGUCAGAUUCUCACUGACGUAGAUGCCCAUAUUGGGUAUAAUUAGAACGCCACAGUCUGCUCCUUUCCAAGAGUGACAGCCAUAUGCGCCUAAUAUAUACUGCUCUUGUGUACUACGUCUUGUAAGGCCGAACCCGGGGGCGACUGCAAUAAAGCUAGACUAACCUGUGAAGUGUGUUUGAUACCUUGAUAGAUAACUAGUGUCGUUAUUUGUAACAUUAACGUGAAGGCAGACAAAUACUAUCUAUCACUCCAAUGUAGAGCACAACACCGUACACAUUAGCGCUAAAUUAGCUAGCUUGCUUUCUUAAUUUCACAUUUCCUCAUCGUUUUCUUUGAGGACAUGUAUUUUUAACGUAUAUAUGUGAUGCAUUCAUUCAAUAAUCUACGCUGUCGCUAACCUGUCUGAAUUAUUUGAAGAGGUCAGCGUGCCUGUCCGCCAAAUGCUUUGCUAAAUUUGAGGUGUUGCCUCCUUUAGUUUGUACCGUCUUAAAGCACCGUUUGCAUAUGGGCUUGGAUGGAUCUUUUGUUUUGCCCUGCUCAUUCGCUUCAUAAACGAAAUAUUUCCACACAGCACUCCUGCUGUUUUCUUUUUCUAAGAGCGCAGGCCGCUGGGCUUGUGUUCCUUCCAUCUUAAACUUUUACUUCUGAAUCCUGGCUGUCUCGUUGUCGUUGUUUCCACCUGGAGUGUAUGUUAUCCCUGCGUGGACAUAAAGGGAAGCUUUUUUUUUUUUUUUUUUAGUACGACUCCGUCGAAUUUUCAUUACACAAGUACAGAGUGCUCCAAUACUUUCUGUUUUUCGGUAUUACCGAAUGCAUAAUUAAUGAAGCUCAGAACCGUUUUUGAAAUUUGGUAUCACUAUAGUAUCAAAGUAUCUGUAUUUUUGACAACCCUAAAUGUUACUCUGCUACUCAAUGGAGGUCCCGCUUAUACAUCUCACUGCUAUUCCUUGGUCAGUUCACCAACCCCCAACCCCGGAUAUACACACUGUCGCUGGUGGCUUUGGCUUCCUUUUCCCAGAAGAAAUCCUGCCUGACACACAGUCGUCGUCGGAGUACAUCUCUUCGUUCCACCGCUCCAAUCCCGGUUAGACACACGGUGACAAGAGGAAUCUAGCUUUUCCUGUUCUCCUUCAGCAGCACAGACGGUCUGCAUCCUAUGGCCUUGCAGCAGCUCUGAGGUGUACAUACAGGACUGUUUUAUACAUGAAGCUCCACUGGAAUAUGCACCCCCCCCUGCUGGUUAGGGAUCAGCAGCUGGCCAAUCACCAGCUGCUUUUCCCUGCAACCAAACACAGCAGGUAGGAUGUCUCAGAUGGAGCGUCAGAUUCAUCUGAGUUUACACAAUUAAAUAAUUAAACACAACUAUUUACAUAUUUCACAUGCAAGGCUCCAGCCUUGCUACAAGCCCCUAACUAGAACAUUGUCAAACUCUUUGGGCAAAUAAGUACCCACAUUAUAUUGAUUGCUCUAAUGUUGAAUUCACAGCCAUGGCAUGGGGUGUAUGUUACUGACAUACGUAUGCAUCAUAUUGAGUCCCUAACUCGGAAAUUUCCAAACUCUUAGGACAUAUAAGCAUCAUUGAGAGAACAGAAAGAAUAGAUAUAAGGGUGUGUGAAACAGUAUGCUUUUGCAGUAGAUCACCCAAUCAAGGUGGUGAGAGUCUUUGAACUAUUUUGUGCACCAGAAAUUAACAAAAACAAGAAUGUCAAAAUACAUAGUUCAGUCAGCGUAGAUCAGGGUGCACUAGGUGAACUGAUUGCAAACUAGUAGACUUUAUUCUAAAAGUUUAUUAAAUCAACUUAGGAGCUAGAAAUUCUAGUUACAUUUUCAUUAAUUCAUUCGCAGAUAGUAAAUAGUUUCCCAAAUGAUUUUCCUUUUCACCUUCCCCUUUUUAUGUUUACAAUCAUGCUGAAAGAUUCUGUUGCUUAAAUGUUGCGUUCUAAUCAUUUUUCUACAGUAGUCUCAAGCUAGCCUUUAACUUAUUUUUGAUUUCACGAUUCCAGAAUACGUUGAUAUGAUUUUGACUCAACAAUGCUCUGCUUCCUUCCAGGGCUGUAUUGGGGCACAGGGUCCCAAUAUUUGAUAAAUAGGAUAUUGUUUAUACUGCACUAGUAAACAAUAUACCAAAUAGUUUUUUUUUUUUUACAGUCAACUAAACAAACGAAAAAGGAUUGUAGCCAUAAGCAGCCACAAAUGACUGGUGACUGGUUAAUCCAUUUGGUGACUGGUUAAUUGGGUUUCAUUAAACUAUACUAUAUUGUGGAGCAGGUGGGGCAAACAGGUUUGAAAAGCCACAGCAACACAUAGCUGGAACAACAGGGCUCUGGACCAAUCAGAAGAAUUGAAAACACAAUGAUACCAUUCAAAGUUUUUUUUACUAAUAAUGUGUGUUUUAUAAUUACAUGUGUUUGUUUACCAUCUCUGUUUUAAUACUGGGAAAACUAAUUAUUCUAAUUUUCUUUUUUAUGCAACUUCAAUUGUGGAUCAAGUUUCAGAAGGUUACAGAGACCAAGGAAUCCCACAACAGCUGUAAAGUGCAUCAAACCCAUUUUGAAAUAAGAAUGUACUCCUUGCCUAGACGCCUUUAGCAUCAUAUUGGAAAGAAUUGGGCUUUUUCCACAAACCUCAGAUUAACUGAUUCUCUGGCAUUUUAUCUCUCACACAAAUAAAAGGCACCAAGUAUGUCAACCGAGGAAAUCUUUUCCUAUGUUAUGAAAAGUGGGAAGCCUUGGACAAGGCUAUUUUCAGCCAGUCAGGUGAAUUUGGUGUUGAUCUUACUAAUUCAUAACACAAUACCACAGAUUCAAGUUUUCUUCUGAGCAUUUUCAGCUGUUCAAAUGGAUUUGGGAUUUUGAGUACAGUUUACUUUUACUGGUACAAUAUCAUUUUUAGUUUAAGCAGGUUUUCAUAUUUAUUGUCAUAACUUACAGAAAUAAGUUUAUAAAAAUUAAAUUGUCCUUUUGUAUAUUGCUGCAUGCAUAUAGCUUGCUAGUUAGAACAGAAUGUAUUUAAACUACAUACACCAAUGAUUAUUUUUUGUGAGAUUUUGUAUUAUUUAUUUUGUUGUUGUAGAACAUUUUUAUAAUGAAUAUUACAGUAUAUGGUUCAGGUAACUCUUCUAAACUGGUUGCCAUAGAUACUGAUCACUCUAUAAAAGGUCUCCCUUUGUACAAAUGGGAUUAAAGAAAUGUAAUUGUU